rnacentral:rRNA from 1 species
AUACGGAGGGGGUUAGCGUUGUUCGGAAUUACUGGGCGUAAAGCGCGCGCAGGCGGCUAUUUAAGUUGGAUGUGAAAGCCUACGGCUCAACCGUAGAACUGCAUCCAAAACUAUUUAGCUAGAGUGUGGGAGAGGAAGAUGGAAUUAGUUGUGUAGGGGUAAAAUCCGUAGAGAUAACUAGGAAUACCAAAAGCGAAGGCAAUCUUCUGGAACACUACUGACGCUGAGGCGCGAAAGCGUGGGGAGCAAACGGGAUUAGAAACCCUAGUAGUCC